rnacentral:piRNA from 1 species
AGCCAGACAUGGAGGAGACGGUGUCAGUGC